UCACUUUGUGUCUGGUAGGGGGAGAGUUUAAUACAGGUCUCCUGUAGUACUCACUUUGUGUCUGGUAGGGGGAGAGUUUAAUACAGGUCUCCUGUAGUACUCACUUUGUGUCUGGUAGGGGAUCAGGGAGAGUUUAAUACAGGUCUCCUGUAGUACUCACUUUGUGUCUGGUAGGGGAUCAUGGGAGAGUUUAAUACAGGUCUCCUGUAGUACUCACUUUGUGUCUGGUAGGGGGAGAGUUUAAUACAGGUCUCCUGUAGUACUCACUUUGUGUCUGGUAGGGGGAGAGUUUAAUACAGGUCUCCUGUAGUACUCACUUUGUGACUGGUAGGGGGAGAGUUUAAUACAGGUCUCCUGUAGUACUCACUUUGUGUCUGGUAGGGGGAGAGUUUAAUACAGGUCUCCUGUAGUACUCACUUUGUGUCUGGUAGGGGAUCAUGGGAGAGUUUAAUACAGGUCUCCUGUAGUACUCACUUUGUGUCUGGUAGGGGGAGAGUUUAAUACAGGUCUCCUGUAGUACUCACUUUGUGUCUGGUAGGGGAGAGUUUAAUACAGGUCUCCUGUAGUACUCGCUUUGUGUCUGGUAGGGGAUCAUGGGAGAGUUU